CGGUCGCCAGGCUUCCGCCUCCGUCUCCUGGUCAGUCCCGGCCUCCAUUGAGCUGGGCGUAGCGGCGUCGGGCAAAGAAGAGCAAGCAACGGAGCGACUCCGCCGCCAUGGAGGCCCCGGAGGAGGUAGUGGACGCGGGAGGAGGAGAGGAGGAGCGGGUGGCAGGGGCGGAGCAGGUGCGGCCGGCCCGCAGGAGGGAGGCGCAGUGAUGGAGGGCGACCGGCGGCGUGCUCGUGUUUCAUCUGCUCUGCAAUCUGUGUAGAUCAACCUUCAAGCGACGUUUCUUUAUCGAUCUUGUCGAUCUGCGUGUUCUGGUCGGUUGGCUUGGUUCUUUGGUCCGGCCGCUGACUGCUUCUGAAGAUUAUUGGGGGCUGCCUCUUCUGUGCUGAGAGAAAAAAAAAAGGUCCUGGUUUCUGAGGAUUUCACAAGAAUCAGGUGUGACUGUGCUGUGUUGUCUGCUCAUGUCAAG